AUCAUAAUCUCUCCAUCCGAAAUUACAUGUCAUCAAAAUGGAUAAGGAAAGGUGUAUCUAUAACUAAAAUAUGUCUAGAUACAUCCUCUUUUAUUCAUUUUGGUGAUAAGUAUUUCCGGACGAAGAGGGUAUUAC
rfam:Triticum aestivum genome assembly, contig: Triticum_aestivum_CS42_TGACv1_scaffold_290551_4AL